rnacentral:rRNA from 1 species
CCAACAGGGAUUGCCCUAGUAACGGCGAGUGAAGCGGCAACAGCUCAAAUUUGAAAUCUGGCCUUUAUGGUCCGAAUUGUAAUUUGGAGAAGGUGUUUCGGAAGAGAUGAUGGUCCAAGUCCCUUGGAAUAGGGCGUCGCAGAGGGUGAGAAUCCCGUAUGUGACCAAUCAUUGACUCCAUGUGAAACCCUUUCGACGAGUCGAGUUGUUUGGGAAUGCAGCUCUAAAUGGGUGGUAAAUUUCAUCUAAAGCUAAAUACCUGCCAGAGACCGAUAGCGCACAAGUAGAGUGAUCGAAAGAUGAAAAGCACUUUGAAAAGAGAGUCAAACAGUACGUGAAAUUGUUGAAAGGGAAGCGCUUGCAAUCAGACUCGUUUGCAGAAGUUCAGCCUUCUUUCGAGAUGGUGUAUUCUUCUGUCAACGGGCCAGCAUCAGUUUCGGCGGUUGGAUAAAGACUUUGAGAACGUAUCUCUCCUCGGAGAGUGUUAUAGCUCGGAGUGUAAUGCAGCCAGCUGAGACUGAGGUCCGCGCUUUUGCUAGGAUGCUGGCGUAAUGGUUGCUAGCGACCCGUCUUGAACACGGACCAAGGAGUCGACCAAUGACGCGAGUGUUUGGGUGUAAAACCCGUGCGCGUAAUCAACGUGAACGUAGGUGGGAGCCUUUCGGGCGCACCAUCGACCGAUCUUGAUGUUUUCGGAUGGAUUUGAGUAUGAGCAUUUUUGGUCGGACCCGAAAGAUGGUGAACUAUGCGCGGAUAGGGUGAAGCCAGAGGAAACUCUGGUGGAGGCUCGCAGCGGUUCUGACGUGCAAAUCGAUCGUCAAAUCUACGCAUAGGGGCGAAAGACUAAUCGAACCGUCUA